ACAGUACAAUGGCCACAAGAACUAACGAAUCUCAAGUUUAUAUCCUCACUGAAUAUAGUUCUGGUACUUCCAAACGUAUUGGCAUUUCUUUGAUCAACAGCUUGUAGAAGCCAAAGCUGAUAGAGGAUCCUGAAGACCGCUUGGUUUUGUUAGACUCAUGGAUAAAGAAAAAAACUCAAGUCAUUAUCAGAUGGCCCCAGGACAGCACCUCUAGUUGGAACUUGGACAAGUAUGACAAGCCAGUCGUGUGUGAUUACCGUCCAGCUAUAGUUCUAUUUUACUCUGAUGACAAACAUAGUGCUGGUAAGAAGAGGGAUGAAAUCAUCAAGGAACCGAAGUCCAGUUUGGUUAAUGACUCUUACCCAAAAGCAAGAUGCAGUCUGAACUUUCAGUCAGAUAAAACUGCUGAAAAGCGUCCUCUCAACAAUGGAGAUACAGUACAAGUUGCACUUUCAUCUGA